rnacentral:rRNA from 1 species
AAGGUAGCACAAUAAAUAGCCAAUUAAUUGUUGGCGGGUAUGAAUGGAAUCACGAGGAUCUUACUGUCUCAAGAGGAAAGCCGAUGAAAUUAUAAUUGUAGUGAAGAUACUACAUAAACAUUGUAAGACGAAAAGACCCUAUCGAGCUUUACUGGAUACCGAUAGCGUUAACUUAGAAUGAUCUAUACUAAGUAUACAAUUCUAAGUUAAUAAUUUUUGUUGGUAGGACAGUUUAGUUGGGGCGACUACCUUUGAAUAAGAAACGAAGGCGAGCUUAUGGUAUUAUUAAAAUCUCAUUAGCCUCACAGUGAGGGGGACACCCCUAGCUGGCACAAGGAACCACGGAUAUACGUAAUGGGUUCCUAUGUGGGCGAUAGUGACCCGAUAUGAUUAUCCAAAAUAAAUAUCGAAAGCGGAUAAAAGCUACCGUAGGGAUAACAGCGUAAUAUUGUCGGAGAGUCCUUAUCGAGGACAGUGUUUGCGACCUCGAUGUUGAAUUGCGGUGCCCGGGUGCUGUAGAAGGUACCCUAGGUUGGUCUGUUCGACCAUGAAAACCGUACGUGAUC